rnacentral:lncRNA from 1 species
AGACUCUUGGAGCAGACAGUGUCAUCUGGCUCAGUCUCCAGCCUUCAGCCAGGAAAAUUCUACAGCUUUCAGAGCAGACAGAGAAGACUCAGUAUCUCUUCAACCAUCAAGAUGGGACAGACUGUAAGAGAGCCCUGGAGGAGGUGGUCAUGAGGAUGAAAGUCAUAUGUGAAGGAUGAUGGAACAGAGGGACUAAAGGAGCCUGCCCUGGACACCCUGAUUUCCUGCUAUGGGGAGUGAAAAAGAAGCCAUAGUCCCAUGGAUUCUGUUACCAGCCACUGAGUGCAAUCCUACCUGAUCCCAUGGUCCUCACCAAGGCUGUGUCUGCUUAGGAAAUGGAGAAUGGUCCCCAAACCACAGCAGCAAAAAUGAGUGGAAGGGUUGAGCAUUAUUUCCAGCCUUGGUUGCUCUGGUGAUUGGUGCCUGGGAGGGGCAGGACCUCCAUCCAACAGACUGUACCAGCAGAGUCGUAAGAGGACAUUUGUGACUACUUUCGGCCCACCCAGAUCAUCCAGGAUAAUCUUUCUAUUUUAAGGUCAGCAGAUUAACAAUCUUAAUUCCAUCUGCAACCUUAAUUCCUCUUUGCCAUGAAAGGUAAUAUAUUCACAAGUCCCAGAGAUUAGGUUGUAGAAAUCUUUGAGGGUGGAGCAUUAUUCUGUUAAGAGGAAAAUUUAAAAUUUCUGCUCUUGGAAUGAUAUUGUUACAAAAAUAAAAAGCAAGCCGUAGACUGGGAGAAAAGAUUUGCAAAACAUAUAUUAAACAAAAGACUUGUAUCUAGAAAGUAUAAAGAAGCCUUAAAACUCAAUAAGAAGACAAACAACUCAAUUAAAAGAUGGGAAAAGAUUUGAAGAGACAGUUCACCAAAGAAGAUGUAUGGAUGGCAAAUAAGCACAUGAGAAGAUGCUCAGUAUCAUCAGCCAAUAGGCGAAUGCAUUUAAAAUCACAAAGAGAUACUACCACACACCCUAGAACCAGAAAUACCAUUUGACCCAGCCAUCCCAUUACUGGCUAUAUACCCAAAAGAUUAUAAAUCAUUCUACUGUAAAGACACAUGCACACGUAUGUUUAUUGCAGCACUAUUUACAACAGCAAAGACUUGGAACCAACCCAAAUGCCCAUCAAUGAUAGACUGGAUAAAGAAAACAUGGCACAUAUACACCAUGGAAUACUAUGCAGCCGUAAAAAGGAUGAGUUCAUGUCCUUUGCAGGGACAUGGAUGAAGCUGGAAGCCAUCAUUCUCAGCAAACUAACACAGGAACAGAAAACCAAGCACCGCAUGUUCUCAUUCAUAAGUGGGAGUUGAACAAUGAGAACACAUGGAUACAGGGAGGGGAAAAAC